UACGAAGGGGGCUAGCGUUGCUCGGAAUCACUGGGCGUAAAGCGCACGUAGGCGGCUUUCUAAGUCAGGGGGUGAAAUCCUGGAGCUCAACUCCAGAACUGCCUUUGAUACUGGAGAGCUUGAGUCCGGAAGAGGUGAGUGGAACUCCGAGUGUAGAGGUGAAAUUCGUAGAUAUUCGGAAGAACACCAGUGGCGAAGGCGGCUCACUGGUCCGGUACUGACGCUGAGGUGCGAAAGCGUGGGGAGCCAACAGG
rnacentral:rRNA from 1 species